GACGAACCGUGCGAACGUUAUUCGGAAUCACUGGGCUUAAAGCGCGUGUAGGCGGGCCGGCACGUCGGCUGCUGAAAUCCCCCGGCUCAACCGGGGAAGGGGCACCGAUACGACCGGCCUGGAGGGGGGUAGGGGGGACGGGAACUUCCGGUGGAGCGGUGAAAUGCGUUGAGAUCGGAAGGAACGCCGGUGGCGAAAGCGGCGUGCUGGACCUUUGCUGACGCUGAUGCGCGAAAGCCAGGGGAGCGAACGGG
rnacentral:rRNA from 1 species